GGAUUUAUUUCAGCUUGUGAAGUGAAUUAAAUCUACAGAUUUAAUUUAGAUUUAUUCUACAAGUCACGAUGUUAAUGGAUGAGAAGUCAACAAUCAAAAUAUGAGAAUUUUUAGAGUAUUUUGUAUUUUUAGCAAGACCCGAGAUUAAUAACAUAUAUAGAUUUACCAACAGAGAAUGAUUUAUUUUAUUCAUCACAUCACAACUUUACAACUUAUUAUUCACUACAUCCCUAUUUCCUACCUACUACAUCAAGAAAACAAACCAAACUUCCUACCUACUACAUCAAGAAAAGAAAAGGGAAGGCAUGCGUGUGGGAACAAAAUCAGCCAUUUUAGUAGACUACUCAAGUAUAGCCAUUAAUGCACUCCUUCAAAUAAACAUAUCAGCCAACAACACUCUUCAUUCAUUCCCUUAGACACCAGAUUUUAGACACCAGAUUUGAGAGAGAGUAAGAUGAUUUCUGCUGCCAAACCUUGAGAGGUAAGUCUUGAUUCGAAUUUCCUCCAUUCCUCUUUAGUACCUCCUGAAAUUGUCAAGAAACAAUAUUUGCUGUUUCAGCUUUCAUCUCAUUGAAUCCAAUCAACAACAUCAGCUACCAACACAAAACAAUUGCAAGGUUAAGCGCAAGAGUAAGAACUAGUCAAGGGGUUACUGAACUGUAGCAAAGCUUUGCUAUCAGGUUGAGCAAUGGCUGAUGAAGAUGAAGUGAUGAGCGGAGCUUUUGUCAUGAGUUUAAAAUGGACUCUUGGAUACAUGUCUUCAUACAUGUAAUCAGAUUAUGUUAUUCCGCUGCAUACUCUCAAGUAAUAUGUCUUUAAGCUAAGUCGGGUUCAUCCGAACUCACGAGUUAAUCGAGUCCUUGUGACUAAACAACAGUUAUCUUAUGAUUGUCCCUCCUUAACAAUGAUUUGAUUUCGAGCCUUCA